rnacentral:rRNA from 1 species
AGCGAACGCUGGCGGCAGGCUUAACACAUGCAAGUCGAACGAACUCUUCGGAGUUAGUGGCGGUCGGGUGAGUACCACGUGGGAACGUGCCCUUUGGUAAGGUAUACUUCAGGGAAACUUGUGCUAAUACCGAAUGUGCCCUUCGGGGGUAAGAUUUUUCGCUAUUAGAGCGGCCCGCGUCUGAUUCGCUAGUUGGUGAGGUAACGGCUCGCCAAGGCGACGAUCAGUAGCUGGUCUGAGAGGAUGACCAGCCACACUGGGACUGAGACACGGCCCAGACUCCUACGGAGGGCAGCAGUAGAGAGUCUUGCGCAAUGGACGAAAGCCUGGCGCAGCCAUGCCGCGUAAAUGAGGAAGGGCUUAGGAUUGUAAAAUUCUUUCUCCGGGGGCGAUAAUGACGGUACCCGGAGAAGAAGCCCCGGCUAACUUCGUG